rnacentral:lncRNA from 1 species
CCACACGACAGCCAACACCAGAUUGUGUCACCAAUGUCAUUCCCACAUACAAACCACUUGCCACAAAACCACCACCGCGGACCACCGCUAAGUAGAUUGAAUAAAAAAAAUUGCAGAUUCGGGCACCCGCCACCGCAAGAUCUACCAAUAAAAUCACCAACACCCUACAAUCGUCACCGCCUCACUGCUGUCAUCGCCACUUCCAACAACAAACAAAAUUGCUACCACCCAUCACCACCUCCUUCAUUUUUAA